AAUCAGCACUUCUUGAAGGAGACUCCUGGAAGCAACCAGAUCAUUCCAUCACCUUCAGCCACAUCAGAACUUGACAAUAAAACCCACAGUGAGAAUUUGAAACAGAUGGGUGAUAGAUCUGCCACUCUGAAAAGAGAGUCUUUGGAUCAAGUCACCAACAGAACAGAUACAGUAAAAAUCCAAAGCAUAAAGAAAGAAGAUAGUUCAAAUUCUCAGGUAUCCAAGCUAAGAGAGAAACUCCAGCUGAUCAGUGCUCUUACAAACAAACCUGAGAGCAACAGGCCUCCAGAGACCGCCAAUGAAGAGCAAGUAGAGAGUUUCACAUCAAAGCCAUCAGCAUUGCCAAAAUUUUCACAGUUUCUUGGAGACCCAGUUGAGAAAGCUGCCCAACUAAGACCUAUCUCCCUACCAGGAGUUUCUAGCACUGAAGAUCUUCAGGAUUUAUUCCGCAAGACUGGCCAGGACGUGGAUGGGAAGCUGACCUACCAGGAAAUCUGGACCUCCCUAGGUUCUGCUAUGCCAGAACCAGAGAGCUUGAGAGCAUUUGAUUCCGAUGGAGAUGGAAGAUACUCAUUCCUGGAGCUAAGGGUAGCUUUAGGUAUCUAGCUUCAUCAGGCAUAUUUUAGAAAUGGACUGCCUAAUAUCUAUUUACCUAACAAAAAACAACCCUUACUUACCCAUCAGUCCUCUAGUCCUCCAAACUACUGUAGCAGAUACUUUGCCACCUUUUAACUUGUUUGAAGAAGCUAUAUAAAGUUAUUUUUUUAAAGAAGAAGACCAUUUUACUUAUGAUGUUCAGAAA
rnacentral:sRNA from 1 species